GAUGAACGCUGGCGGCGUGCCUAAUACAUGCAAGUCGAACGAACCGGGGGCGUGUGAGUAAUACGUAGAUAACCUCCUAUAAGACUGGGAUCACUUCGGGAAACCGGAACCAAAACGGUUACUUUUAGAUGGAUCCGAUUUGCAUUAGCUAGGUGGUAAGGUAACGGCUUACCAAGGCAACGAUGAAUAGCCGACCUGAGAGGGUGAUCGGCCACACUGGAACUUAGACACGGUCCAGACUCCUACGGGAGGCAGCAGUAGGGAAUCUUCCGCAAUGGGCGAAAGCCUGACGGAGCAACGCCGCGUGAGUGAGGAAGGUCUUCGGAUUGUAAAGCUCUGUUAUUAGGGAAGCGGUACCUAAACAGAAAGCCACGGCUAACUACGUGCCAGCAGCCGCGGUAAUAC
rnacentral:rRNA from 1 species